rnacentral:rRNA from 1 species
AGAAUCAACGCUGGCGGCGUGCCUAACACAUGCAAGUCGCACGAGAAAGGGACUUCGGUCCUGAGUAAAGUGGCGCACGGGUGAGUAACACGUGAAUAAUCUACCUCCGAGUGGGGAAUAACUGAGAGAAAUCUUAGCUAAUACCGCAUAACACUUACGAGUCAAAGCAGCAAUGCGCUUGGAGGGGAGUUCGCGGCAGAUUAGUUAGUUGGCGGGGUAAUGGCCCACCAAGACGAUGAUCUGUA